rnacentral:rRNA from 1 species
AUACGGAGGGUGCAAGCGUUAAUCGGAAUUACUGGGCGUAAAGCGCGCGUAGGCGGCUAUUUAAGUCGGGUGUGAAAGCCCCGGGCUCAACCUGGGAACUGCAUUCGAUACUGGCAGGCUAGAGUAUAGUAGAGGCAAGUGGAAUUUCGGGUGUAGCGGUGAAAUGCGUAGAUAUCCGAAGGAACAUCAGUGGCGAAGGCGACUUGCUGGACUAAUACUGACGCUGAGGAGCGAAAGCGUGGGGAGCAAACGGGAUUAGAAACCCCAGUAGUCC